AAACUCCUGGCAGGGAGAAUGAGCGCAGCUGAUGAACCUGACCAGAAAACUGCUGCUAUGGAACUGUCAGCUGGGUCUGCUAUUUGUAUUGUGGCCAGAGAAGGUCUUUACCUAGUGUCCUAAAAUGG